UACAGAGGUCUCAAGCGUUGUUCGGAUUCAUUGGGCGUAAAGGGUGCGUAGGCGGCGCGGUAAGUCGGGUGUGAAAUCUUGGAGCUUAACUCCGAAACUGCAUUCGAUACUGCCGUGCUUGAGGACUGGAGAGGAGACUGGAAUUUACGGUGUAGCGGUGAAAUGCGUAGAUAUCGUAAGGAAGACCAGUGGCGAAGGCGGGUUUCUGGACAGUUCCUGACGCUGAGGCACGAAGGUCAGGGGAGCAAACGGG
rnacentral:rRNA from 1 species